UCGGCCAGUCCGUUAGCUAACCAUUGUUACCUGGAACGAUUUUUGAAUAGAGAGACUAAAUUUGGCAAGCGAAGACUUGUCUAUGUACGUUUUGGCCCCGAUGGGCGCGCAGAAGUGGGCGACGUAGAGCAAUGCCGGGCCCCUGCCGACAGCCGGUUAUGAAUGCCGCGUGGCGCCGCUCCGUGAGCCGCGCUCCGCAGCACACGUGCCGAUGCCGAGCGUUCGGCACGUGGAGCCCUUGUCGCUGAGUGAGGGGCGUAGAGGACGAGUUGACACGUGCCGAGGCAGCCCGGAGGAGCCUAAGCUGCGACCGCGCUGAGCGCUGUGCUUGGGCUAUCGUACCCGGCAGUCGUCGUCUGGGUUUUUACUCGCGCGAAAAAGGUUUGCCACUGCGGCUCGGUGCCUCUCUGCAAUUUUCUGUCUGUAACGAACACAUUUUGGAGUCGCUGAUGCACACGCGGAGGUGACGGCCCAGCGAUGGGACAGCAGCCCCCCCCCCCCCCCCCUCAGCUCUGUGGAUUACAUCGACAGCAGAUGACGACGCUGCUUCGCGGCGGAUAAUGUGCGUGAAUGCCAGUGCGCGUGUGUUUGUGUCACAGUGUUUGUUAUGAGUGAGCCGCAGUCCUGCGAGUGAGUGUGAUGCGGUGGCGACUGCUGCCUAUGACUGGUCUGUCGUGUUCGUGCUUCGCGAUGCAAGUGACCUGCUACAAGAAGAGAAUCGUGAAGUGUGCCGUGUGAUCAGUGGUGCACCUUUGAAAUCUUGCCACCUUUUGGAUAUGUGAAUUAGCUGGCCUCGCCUCCCUCUGGAGCGAAGUCAGCUGCAAACAGGUGCUCUGGUAUAAGUUCAGGAGGCAUAAAAUGUAUGGGAAAACUGAAAGUGGGUGCACUAUACGUGGGCCCCUGUGCUGCACAGAGCAGUGCCUUCGGUGGCCGUCGCAGCCGUCGUCCAUCAACGGACGCUCAUGCCGUCGCCACAUUUUCUCACUUUCCCCACAAUUGUCAAAAAAUACAUUCGCCGGUACAGUAAAAGAAAGGUAAGAUGGUC
rnacentral:lncRNA from 1 species